UACGUAGGGACCAAGCGUUGUUCGGAUUUACUGGGCGUAAAGGGCGCGUAGGCGGCGUGGUAAGUCAGCUGUGAAAUCUCCGAGCUUAACUCGGAACGGUCAGCUGACACUGCUGUGCUAGAGUACAGAAAGGGCAAUCGGAAUUCUUGGUGUAGCGGUGAAAUGCGUAGAUAUCAAGAGGAACACCUGAGGCGAAGGCGGGUUGCUAGGCUGAUACUGACGCUGAGUGCGCGAAAGCUAGGGUAGCAAACGGG
rnacentral:rRNA from 1 species